rnacentral:rRNA from 1 species
UACGGAGGGGGCGAGCGUUGUUCGGAGUUACUGGGCGUAAAGCGCACGUAGGCGGUGCGGUAAGUCAGGGGUUAAAGGCUGCAGCUCAACUGCAGUAAGGCCUUUGAUACUAUCGUGCUAGAGUGUCAGAGAGGAUGGCGGAAUUCCCGGUGUAGCGGUGAAAUGCGUAGAUAUCGGGAGGAAGGGCGGUGGCGAAGGCGGCCUCCUGGGCCUGCACUGACGCUGAGGCGCGAAAGCGUGGGGAGCAAACAGG